rnacentral:rRNA from 1 species
GUGGGGAAUCUUGCGCAAUGGGCGAAAGCCUGACGCAGCGACGCCGCGUGGGCGAAGAAGGCCUUCGGGUUGUAAAGCCCUGUGGGGGAGAACGAACCGUACGGGGGCUAAUACCCUCCGUGCCUGACGGUACUCCUUUAGCAAGCAUCGGCUAACUCUGUGCCAGCAGCCGCGGUAAGACAGAGGAUGCAAACGUUGCUCGGAAUUACUGGGCGUAAAGCGCGUGUAGGCGGUCUGGUAAGUCGGACGUGAAAUCCCGGGGCUCAACCCCGGAAGUGCGCUCGAUACUGCCGGACUUGGGUUCUGAAGAGGAGAGCGGAAUUCCCGGUGUAGAGGUGAAAUUCGUAGAUAUCGGGAGGAACACCAGUGGCGAAGGCGGCUCUCUGGGCAGAUACCGACGCUGAGACGCGAAAGCGUGGGAAGCAAACAGGAUUAGAAACCCCAGUAGUCC